CACACACCUCCAGGUACAUGCAUACAGGUACACACAUACAGGUACACACACCUCCAGGUACAUGCAUACAGGUACACACAUACAGGUACACACACCUACAGGGACACGCAUACAGGUACACACGCCUACAGGGACACGCAUACAGGUACACAUGCCUACAGGUACAUGCCUACAGGUACACACAUACAGGUACACACACCUCCAGGUACACACAUACAGGUACACACGCCUCCAGGUACAUGCACACAGGUACACACGCCUCCAGGUACACGCACCUACAGGUACACGCAUUCAGGUACACGCACCUACAGG